rnacentral:misc_RNA from 1 species
GAUGAAGAACGUAGUGAAAUGCGAUAAGUAAUGUGAAUUGCAGAAUUCAGUGAAUCAUCGAAUCUUUGAACGCACCUUGCGCCCUUUGGCUAUUCCGAAGGGCAUGCCUGUUUGAGUAUCGUGAACACCUCAACUCUCAUGGUUUGCCAUGAUGAGCUUGGACUUUGGGGGUUUUGCUGGCCUUUGGUCGGCUCCUCUCAAACGGAUCAGCUUUCCUGUGUUUGGUGGCGUCACGGGUGUGAUAACUAUCUACGCCUGUGGUUUUCUGCCAGAUAACCUUCAGCGAUGGAGGUUCGCUGGGGCUCAUAAAUGUCUCUCUUCAGUGGAGACAGCUUUUUGGACGUUUGAUCUCAAAUCAGGUAGGACUACCCGCUGAACUUAAGCAUAUCAAUAAGCGGAGGA